UGUGUACGGGGACAAGCUGCGCGGACAGGUGGAAGAGCGCUUGUCUUUCUAUGAGACGUGCCACGCAAGAAUCUGGAUGUCAUGAAGCUGUGAAAGAGGCUACUGAGAUCAAGCGGAAACGCAAGAAGCGUGAAAAGAAGACUCUGGCGAGACCAACGGUGAAGCUGAGGCAGAAAAUGGAGACGCAGACACAAAGCCAGCGGCCGAGGAGAUGGAGGUCGAGGCAGAGGAAGCCCCUGCUGCACAGAACGGAGCCGAGGAAACCCCAGGGAAAAAGACGUGGAGCUUGCUGUGGUCGAAGAUAACGGAGCAGAGGUGUCUCUGUGUCUCUGUGUGUGUG